AGGGCGCACGGUGGAUGCCUUGACACUAGGAGUCGAUGAAGGACGGGACUAACGCCGAUAUGCUUCGGGGAGCUGUAAGUAAGCUUUGAUCCGAAGAUUUCCGAAUGGGGAAACCCACCAUACGUAAUGGUAUGGUAUCCUUAUCUGAAUACAUAGGGUAAGGAAGACAGACCCAGGGAACUGAAACAUCUAAGUACCUGGAGGAAGAGAAAGCAAAUGCGAUUUCCUGAGUAGCGGCGAGCGAAACGGAACAUAGCCCAAACCAAGAGGCUUGCCUCUUGGGGUUGUAGGACAUUCUAUACGGAGUUACAAAGGAACGAGGUAGACGAAGCGACCUGGAAAGGUCCGUCGUAGAGGGUAACAACCCCGUAGUCGAAACUUCGUUCUCUCUUGAAUGUAUCCUGAGUACGGCGGAACACGUGAAAUUCCGUCGGAAUCUGGGAGGACCAUCUCCCAAGGCUAAAUACUCCCUAGUGAUCGAUAGUGAACCAGUACCGUGAGGGAAAGGUGAAAAGCACCCCGGAAGGGGAGUGAAAGAGAUCCUGAAACCGUGUGCCUACAAAUAGUCAGAGCCCGUUAACGGGUGAUGGCGUGCCUUUUGUAGAAUGAACCGGCGAGUUACGAUCCCGUGCGAGGUUAAGCUGAAGAGGCGGAGCCGCAGCGAAAGCGAGUCUGAAUAGGGCGUUUAGUACGUGGUCGUAGACCCGAAACCAGGUGAUCUACCCAUGUCCAGGGUGAAGUUCAGGUAACACUGAAUGGAGGCCCGAACCCACGCACGUUGAAAAGUGCGGGGAUGAGGUGUGGGUAGCGGAGAAAUUCCAAUCGAACCUGGAGAUAGCUGGUUCUCCCCGAAAUAGCUUUAGGGCUAGCCUUAAGUGUAAGAGUCUUGGAGGUAGAGCACUGAUUGGACUAGGGGUCCUCAUCGGAUUACCGAAUUCAGUCAAACUCCGAAUGCCAAUGACUUAUCCUUAGGAGUCAGACUGCGAGUGAUAAGAUCCGUAGUCAAAAGGGAAACAGCCCAGACCGCCAGCUAAGGUCCCAAAGUGUGUAUUAAGUGGAAAAGGAUGUGGAGUUGCUUAGACAACUAGGAUGUUGGCUUAGAAGCAGCCACCAUUUAAAGAGUGCGUAAUAGCUCACUAGUCGAGUGACUCUGCGCCGAAAAUGUACCGGGGCUAAAUACACCACCGAAGCUGCGGAUUGAUACCAAUGGUAUCAGUGGUAGGGGAGCGUUCUAAGGACAGUGAAGUCAGACCGUAAGGACUGGUGGAGUGCUUAGAAGUGAGAAUGCCGGUAUGAGUAGCGAAAGACGGGUGAGAAUCCCGUCCACCGAAUGCCUAAGGUUUCCUGAGGAAGGCUCGUCCGCUCAGGGUUAGUCAGGACCUAAGCCGAGGCCGACAGGCGUAGGCGAUGGACAACAGGUUGAUAUUCCUGUACCACCUCUUUAUCGUUUGAGCAAUGGAGGGACGCAGAAGGAUAGAAGAAGCGUGCGAUUGGUUGUGCACGUCCAAGCAGUUAGGCUGAUAAGUAGGCAAAUCCGCUUAUCGUAAAGGCUGAGCUGUGAUGGGGAAGCUCCUUAUGGAGCGAAGUCUUUGAUUCCCCGCUGCCAAGAAAAGCUUCUAGCGAGAUAAAAGGUGCCUGUACCGCAAACCGACACAGGUAGGCGAGGAGAGAAUCCUAAGGUGUGCGAGAGAACUCUGGUUAAGGAACUCGGCAAAAUGACCCCGUAACUUCGGGAGAAGGGGUGCUUUCUUAACGGAAAGCCGCAGUGAAUAGGCCCAAGCGACUGUUUAGCAAAAACACAGCUCUCUGCGAAGCCGUAAGGCGAAGUAUAGGGGGUGACACCUGCCCGGUGCUGGAAGGUUAAGGAGAGGGGUUAGCGUAAGCGAAGCUCUGAACUGAAGCCCCAGUAAACGGCGGCCGUAACUAUAACGGUCCUAAGGUAGCGAAAUUCCUUGUCGGGUAAGUUCCGACCCGCACGAAAGGUGUAACGAUUUGGGCACUGUCUCAACCAGAGACUCGGUGAAAUUAUAGUACCUGUGAAGAUGCAGGUUACCCGCGACAGGACGGAAAGACCCCGUGGAGCUUUACUGUAGCCUGAUAUUGAAUUUUGGUACAGUUUGUACAGGAUAGGCGGGAGCCAUUGAAACCGGAGCGCUAGCUUCGGUGGAGGCGCUGGUGGGAUACCGCCCUGACUGUAUUGAAAUUCUAACCUACGGGUCUUAUCGACCCGGGAGACAGUGUCAGGUGGGCAGUUUGACUGGGGCGGUCGCCUCCUAAAGUGUAACGGAGGCGCCCAAAGGUUCCCUCAGAAUGGUUGGAAAUCAUUCGUAGAGUGCAAAGGCAUAAGGGAGCUUGACUGCGAGACCUACAAGUCGAGCAGGGACGAAAGUCGGGCUUAGUGAUCCGGUGGUUCCGCAUGGAAGGGCCAUCGCUCAACGGAUAAAAGCUACCCCGGGGAUAACAGGCUUAUCUCCCCCAAGAGUCCACAUCGACGGGGAGGUUUGGCACCUCGAUGUCGGCUCAUCGCAUCCUGGGGCUGUAGUCGGUCCCAAGGGUUGGGCUGUUCGCCCAUUAAAGCGGUACGCGAGCUGGGUUCAGAACGUCGUGAGACAGUUCGGUCCCUAUCCGUCGUGGGCGUAGGAAAUUUGAGAGGAGCUGUCCUUAGUACGAGAGGACCGGGAUGGACGCACCGCUGGUGUACCAGUUGUUCUGCCAAGGGCAUAGCUGGGUAGCUAUGUGCGGAAGGGAUAAGUGCUGAAAGCAUCUAAGCAUGAAGCCCCCCUCAAGAUGAGAUUUCCCAUAGCGUAAGCUAGU
rnacentral:rRNA from 2 species